rnacentral:sRNA from 1 species
GCCGGGCAUGGUGGCGCAUGCCUGUAAUCCCAGCACUUUGGGAGGCUGAGGCAGGCGGAUCACUUGAGUCUAGGAGUUCAAGACCAGCCUGUGCAAUAUGGCAAAACCCCAUCUCUACAAAAAAAAAACAAAAUACAAAAAUUAGCUGGGCGUGGUGGCUCAUGCCUUCAGUACCAGCUACUCUGGAGGCUGAGGUGGGAGGAUCGCUUGAGCCUGGGAGGUUGAGGCUGUGGUGAGCCAUGAUCAUGCCACUGUACUCCAGCCUGGGCAACAGAAUGAGAGCCUGUCUCA